rnacentral:sRNA from 2 species
ACCGUCUUCGUUUCUCCAAGCUUCUUGCAAAUCCCGUGGGAUCUCGUUUCUCUUCCCUACUACUUGGAAACAUGGCGUUCGCCUUUGGGCUUAGGAGCGUUGCUGGUGCACAAUUACGCUCACUUCAUCCCCGCCCUAGUAAGUUGUCCGUGACUGUUCUGUCGCGUCCAUUUAGUGGUGGUGGGAAAACAACACCCACAUCGCACCGAUCCGCGACGCCGCGAGCUCGAAUACGAACUGUCACCGAAGAAUCGGACCUAUCAGAGGAUCAACUCAAUGACUUGUUUGCUGGUCAAUUCCCUACUAACUGUGCCGAUGAAGUCAUCCAUCUGAGCAAUCUCUCUCAGCGUGACUUCCGCAGGAUAGUUGAUGCUUUUGAUACCUCAAGAUCAGAGUAAAUUGUUUCCUCUUUUCUUUUCUUUGUUCCAUGCCAUAUUGGGCUCCUCGGGUUUCUCACCUGGAGUAUGAUGAAUACCAGGGACGACCACCGGCCAUCGGGGCAUCUCUUCUUCGACAGAAAAUUGUCUAAAACGUCUGUCCACCUUGCGCCCUCAUCGCUUCAUGGAAGCGCCGUUCAUCAUAUUUUAGGCACCACUUGGGAUGUCAUUGAGUCCAAAGUGCCAAAAUAUUUCAGACGGUUUGAUAUUCAGACCAAUGAACGGGAGGGGCGCAGGGCAGAUUUUACAACAAAAGUACCUGACGUCAUGCUCUCAUAUGCUCCAGAUGCUGAAUCCAUCAAAAGCCCUUUCUUUUUAACCGAAGUAGGGUUUACAGAGAGCUACAAAGAUCUCGUGAAGACAAUGCAGUUCUGGCUUGACAACCAUGAAGAAAUUAACCUCGCCUUUCUCAUUAAAUUCCAAGAGUCCCCAGAGUACAGUGCGAAGAAGUGUUUUGCUGCUCUUCCAGAAGAGGUGGUAGCAGACUGGGAGCGAUAUGCAAAUGAUCGUGCUGGGUUUAAGGUUGAUGCCUCCGAGGGACUCCUGCGAGCGUACGGCGCCCCGCUUGUUGGAAGAACCACAGCAUUCCUAGAGAUUUGGGAGCGGAAGGGAAAAUCUGGCAGUGCUGGGCUUCGGGGAGAGCGCAUAGUAAGUGGAUGGAUACAGUUCUGGUGUCCUAACCCAACUCCGCGGAACCCGCAAAUCCCCCGCCGAGCCUCAUGCUUGGUUUCGACGAAUUCGGCUUACCAAUAGAAGAACUUCGAGGGCAAAAUAUCGAUAUGGCCUGGAGUGAAUGGGCUGAAAAGGUGUACAAUGCCAGGAAGAAGCUAGCAUGGAAUCGUUUUGGCACCAUUCUGUAUACCUACGCAACCACACCAAAGGACACGAAAACCUCGCGAGAAAAAUAAUUGUCAAAAACCUAAGGUGUGAUAAGAUAGCACUAUGAGCACUAGGUUAUCCAUAGCAAAAAGCCAACGUAACCAUUUGUUAAAUGGUUGCGCUAUAUAUAACCGUGGGUGUGGUGGUGUGGCCCGGCGCAUGCCCACCCAUCCCACCAUCUAUACACCGCAAGUGCCAGUCACAGCAUGGUGUGGGAACCACAAAGGGAUGAAAUCCUGUCCGUACCCUGCCAGGUGUCUGUAGAAGGGCUACACGGCCCACUUGGUCCACAGUUCCUUAAAUGAAGGCUGGAGAAAAUAGUAAUGGCAGAGAGAUAUUGGUGCAUUGGGAGAGUACAUGAGAUAAUCGGGAUGAGGGAUGAGGGCCAACUUCUCAGAGUCACUGCCUCAUACGCGGCAGAAAUUUAUACAGUGAACUUUGCCGACCCGCAAGUUAUUUGGGGGCUGGUGUCUAAAUCUUUGCAGGUCAAAUCAGACAGCCAGCUGUCCGGCCCAAACUCCCUCAAUUUCUAACGUAUGCAAUCAAAAACUAUGACAUGUACCGAGGGUCCCUCGGGUUUACCCUUGCAAACUCGGCGAGAAACAAGAUUUAAGCUCCACGCGACAUCAAGUGGCCAGGGUCACAGAGCAGCCGAAAAGAUCAACCAAGAUUUACAGAUUGUAUGUAUUCCUAGCCAACAUGGAGGAAUCCUGUGGUUAUUCUCAGAAAAUGGAAACAACUUGAACAACAAAACAAUUCGGAAGGAAUACAGAGGAGAAAAACGGUAUUUCAGAUUCUUUUUCCCAAAGAUAGCUUGUUCGGAAAAAUGGAGAUCGCAAUAAACUUUUAAUUGGCUGUCUUCGAACACUAAACCAGGCCCUAAUUUAUUACUCUUCUAUCCCGAAUCCCAUGUCGGCUUUGGAUCAAUAUUUAUAAUCGACCAUUUGUUAUACCGCAGAUCUGCGGCGGAACUGAUUUCUUGCGCCCUUUGGCAUUUGGGACUGUUGUACUUAAAAUCCAAAGGCUGCUCCAAUUUAAACCUAACUUAAAACUGAUCUGUGUUUCAUCC